rnacentral:lncRNA from 1 species
AGGUCAGCAUAGACCAAGUGUUCCAGUGUUAGGAACGCAAAAGACUCAAAAGAAGUUGUCUGAAUUCCCACUUCUUUAAAUAUUUACUGAAUGGCUUGUGUGAUAAAAGAUCUUAAGCGGUUGAAAGUCAAAACAUUUCUAAUGUGUAUGCCUUCUUAUAAUAGCAUUUGUUUCAGUACCUAGUCCUCCACUUUGAAAGAGUGAGGCAUGGACCCAUAGUCAUAAUAGUUGAUGGUACGUUCACCCCUUGUUGUCUUGAUACAAACUUUUAUCCUUCUUGUUGUAAUGGGCUUGCUAAGAGUAAAAAUCUUUCCUCUUACCAAGAGACAUAUACGUUUGGUGACUUAGCGAGUAGCUAAAUGAGGCAGGAGAUGAUGCAAUGGGUGUCUGAAUGGCCAAUAUCUCCUCACUUGGUAGAAUUUGACUUCCGAUUCCCACUUGUUGAUAGGGGUUAACCAUAUGGGGGUUCCCUUUGUAUGUCCUUGCUUCGGCAGAAGCGUGGUUGUAAGCUUGUGCCAUCACCUCAGAGUAAGUCUUCCAAGUGUUGGCAUUGAUCAUGUACUUGAAAAAACAAUCACGUAGGCCUGCCGUGAAGGCCUUGAAGGCAGUCUUGUCAUCUGCCUCAGCGCAGCGAGAAUAAUCAUGGCUGAAACGACCGGCAUACUCUCAUAGUGACUCGUCCGGCUUCUAUCGAACAGUGAACAAGUCAUCUGCAGAAUGCAAGCGAUCGGUCUGGAAGAUGUGUUAAGAGAAAAACAGUUUCCUCAAUUCCUCAAAUGAGUCUACUGUUUCAGGUGGAAGACGGCAAUACCAGUUUAGAGCUCCGCCAGAGAGGGUGGAGGGGAAGAGAAGACAUCACUCUUCGUCAGUGUGCAUCCGAUAUGCCAUGGUGGACUCAAAAAGGUUAAGGUGUUCAAUUGGGUCCUCCCUUCCAGUAUAGAGUUGUAAACUAAGCUUUUGUUUUGUCUUUGCUUGAAUUGGGUGUCGAGGAUCCUUCUUGUGAGAGGGCCAGGCCUGGGUUGGUUCCAGUCAAGUAUCUCGGCCUGACGUUCGGCCUUCAACUUGUUUACUUCCUUAAGGAGCUGUAGGACAAGGGGGUCCUGAAUGGAGUCAUGUACCACUGGAAUUUUCUUUCAUAAGUCUCCAUCGCCUCUUGGAAGUAGGAAAGUUUGAGCAAGGGCAUGUGGUUUGUUCUUAGACUCGCCGUACUGACUUCUAAGGCGAGUCUAUCAGAAUACCUCAGAGUCCCCUGUACCUUCAUAUUCCUCUGAAACCUGUCGUUUCUUCCCAAGAUUGGCAGUUGGUCUGGGUCAUGGGAGGGGACUGAGUCUUUCAGAAAC